CACGGUGUGAAAAAAACUAAACGGUCAGGCUCUUAAUCACAGAAAUAACUCUGGUCCCACAUGUGAGGGAUUUUAAUGGAAAAUAAUUGUGAUCGGACGGGACAUUUUAACUGAUGUGAGUG